GAGAGACUUGGAAGAGUCCUGAUGAAGAAGCAGGAACAGCACUGUGGUGAAGAGCUGCUUGUGGGGAAAAAACACUUCGAAGGGUGACAAUUUCUAGUCCAGCAAAUGUGACUUUUUCAACAAAAAGAGUCUGUAAUCUGGAAGAUAAGAGAGCCCCACUGGCUAGGAAAUAAUCCAAAAAACAUUAUCCAGCUGCAAAAAUGAGUGGAAAUAAGCUCUGCAAGGCAUCUUGGCCUGAGGUCCCUGGACAGAUGCACUGAGUUUGACCCAGUGAGUUUGAGGAAUGUGCUGGAGCGAGAAAGGUAGCUGUUAUAGUGGUGCACACUACAAGAGGACUGCUGGGAUGUGCUGGCCAUGAGGGGACAUGACAGAGGUUACACCUGUUCAGGUCCCAUUUGAUUCCUCCCAAUGGAUCCCCACUCUGGGCAGUGAAAAACAAGUGUUACUAAAUGCUGCCAACAAGAAACAUUGCAGAGCCUUUAGGUAGGAUGGUUUUAUGUGACAGACUGAAAGGCAGACUAUUUCAGACAGUCUGUUACAGAUGAAGAGCCGGAAAAGUUCUCCAAACGUGGUGUCUUCAGCAGGAGGCAGAAGCCUGGGCUCUGUGCUGGCCUUGCUCUCAGGAGCUCACUCUGUGCUCACUGCUGCCCUGUUUGCCCCCACAGAAUUUCCCAGCUGCUGCUGCUCCUGCUCACUGAGUGUGUGCCUCCAGCCCUGUCUGUGCAUCCCUGGCUCUGGGAGCCUUCAUUCUACUCUGCCUGCAAGGUGGGUUUUAGACUGGACUCUCUGCAUUCCUGCCUUAUGGCUGGUGUGGAAAUGGAUUGCUCAUUCUGCACAAACACUGCUGCUUUAUCUCCAGUUAAUGGAGCGCAAAAAGAGAAAAAGCACUACCCAGUCAGAAAAGAUUUGAAGAACCUCCUUCUGGACAUAGACCUUUCUACCUUGCAGACAUCAUAUUUUUCUGUGAACUAAAAGGUACUGGUCACUAUCAAAAGGGGUACACCACACUAGUGAGAUUACAUUUCUCACUGUAAUGGCAUUUCCUAGGAGUGACAUAACCUUUGUUUAACAGAAGGAACUUGGAUACUGGAGCAGCAGCAUUUUAAUAGGGCAGAAUAAUUAGGCUUAUAAAAAUCCAAUUUUUUGCUAAUAAGAAAAUUAAUUUGAUUUUUUUGGUGUUAAGCAUCUGGAACACUUGUAAUACCAGUGUAGAGAUUUGGUCUGGAAAAUUGGAGUAUGGAUAACAAGAUGACAGAGGUAGUUGCUGAUGUGAGAGGAAAGGUAAGUAGCAGGAAAAGCGUGGGUAGAUAAGGAAAGGCUUAGAAUAUUUAAAGAUUAAUAGAUGAAAAUGACAGUUCAGUGUAGAUAAAUGAUGAAUAAUGAGUCACAACAAAGCAUUGCCAGCAUUCCUAGGUGCUUCAUACACUCGGAGAAAUAAAAAGUAAGGGAACAGAUCAUGCUGUAAAUUAGCAUAACUGCACUGAAGCCUGUGGAGCUUUGCUGAUUUAAACCUCUGAAGGACUAGACCCUUCGAGGGUGAGUUUUGAUGAUGAAUGGUGAAAAGCAAAGGAAUAAAUAAUAAUUUUCUUAGAAGCUCUGAAUGAGGCAGUUACCUUACUUGCUUCUUCUUUAAUAUCUAAUUUCCUCCAUUUGUUAAGGCAAUACAAACCAUAAUAGACAUUCUGUACGUUACUUUAAAAAUUCACAAAAUACAGAGGCCAUCUAAAGCACUUCAAUCUAAUAAAGGAGAAGUCUUUUCAAGUUUAUAAAGAGCCCUUAAACUCUAAACUGUCAAAGAGAUUUACUUGACAGUGUUACUAAUUACUGAGACCUGCAGUUUGAAUGCACUUGACAUCUCUGCACAGAUCUGCCACAUUUAUUUUUGCAUGUAAUGUUUUAAUCAAUACUUGUAUUCUUUAAUUUAAGCUAUAAAUACUUUGAGGAUUUACCGUUAAAAGUUAUGUAUACCUUUUGUAUACUUUUAAAUGUGCUAGAAAGUAAAUUCUUGGACCUAGAAAUAAUAAAUGUUUACAAAGCUGGAAUUAAUAAUAUUAAAACUGUUGGUAAAGAUCAGUAAUUUUGAAAUUUCAGUAAAUAAUGAAGUUUAACUUGUCUCUUA